CAGUCGUCCAGUAUUUACCUCCAGUUGGCCCUCAUGCUCUUCUGUCCUCCGACGUCCCACACAGUCAGAGACGUCUUCUUGUCGAGGUCCAGAGAUCCCACAUUGAACCCGAUGGUCGGAGACGUCUCCAUCACCUUCAGGAGGCGGGCUAACAGAGUCGACUUCCCAGCAGAGUCCAAACCCAUCAGGAUCACCUGGACGCACAGACACACCUGUUACUUUUGAGAACAUGUUCUCCGUCCCUGACCAGUGACUGUCAGGCAGUGGGGUAAUGCCGAGCUCCGUGUGUCUGGCUGAAACUCACCUGUCUGACAUCUCUCAGGUGUGUUCAGCUUCAUUGAAGCCCAGGGCCAAUCAGCGCGCAGCGUCCAAUCACAGCAGGUCAUGUGACAGUGGGAC